UAGGACUUGCCUAAGGUCACAUAGCUAGUU
rnacentral:piRNA from 1 species